GAACGAACGCUGGCGGCGUGGAUAAGACAUGCAAGUCGAACGCUGAUUUCAAGGUAGCAAUUAUUUUUGAAGUUGGAGUGGCGCAAGGGUGUGUAACACGUGGGUAAUCUGCCGUGAAGCCUGGGGAUAACUUGCUGAAAGGCGAGCUAAUACCGGAUGUGAAAAUCGGAAGGCAUCUUUUGUAUUUUCAAAGUUGGGGACCGCAAGGCCUGACGCUUUAUGAUGAACCCGCGGCCUAUCAGCUAGUUGGUGAGGUAAUAGCUCACCAAGGCUAAGACGGGUAGCUGGUCUGAGAGGACGACCAGCCACACUGG
rnacentral:rRNA from 1 species